GUAUAUGAUGGAAAUAUUAAAUGAUAUGAGAGCUAAGGAAGUGAACCCUAAUCCCAAAACCCUUUUCAUUGUUCUGGAUAGUUAUGUUCGUGCUCGACAAGUUUCUAAAGCUAUUAAAAUUUUCGGGGAACUGGAGAAAUAUGGUUUAAAAGUUAAUGUGGAGACGUUGAAUGUUAUUUUGCAGUGCUUAUGUCAACGAUCAUUUGUGGGCACUGCAAGUUCACUAUUUAACAGAAUGAAAGAGAAAGUACAACCUGACAGCGAGACUUAUAAUAUUAUCAUAGGUGGGUGGUCCAAGUUUGGCAGAGUUAGUGAAGUUGAGAAAUUCUUGAAAGUUAUGGUGAACGAUGGAGUUGAGCAUGAUUGUGUAACUUACAGUUAUAUUCUUGAGGGUUUGGGGAGAUCUGGUCGUGUUGAUAACGCUGUUAAGAUCUUUGAGUACUUUGAGGAGAAACGAACUAUGCUAAGUACUGGGGUUUAUAAUGCAAUGGUUUUUAAUUUUAUUGCUGUUGGAGAUAUUGAUGAAGGCUUGAAAUAUUAUAAGCGGAUGUUGAGUAAUAAUUAUGAGCCAAAUAUGGAUACUUAUGCUAGAAUAAUAGCUGCAUUUCUUAAAGUUAAAAGAGUUUCAGACGCUAUCGAACUGUUUGAUGAAAUGCUAGCUCGAGGGAUCAUUCCUACAGCAGGUACUCUCACCACGUUCAUUGAACCUUUGUGUGGCUAUGGUCCGCCUCAUGCUGCCUUGAUGAUAUAUAAUAAGGCAAGAAAAGUUGGAUGCAGAAUAUCACUGACUGCCUAUAAGCUCUUGCUUAUGCGGUUAUCUAGGUUUGGGAAGUGUGGGAUGCUGCUGAAUAUAUGGGAGGAGAUGCAAGAAAGUGGCUAUUCUUGUGAUAUGCAGGCUUAUGAGUAUGUUAUCAAUGGCCUCUGUAACACGGGGCAGCUUGAAACUGCUGUCCUAGUCAUGGAGGAAUCUCUGCACAAGGGAUUUUUCCCUAGCAAGCUUAUUUGUAGCAAACUGAAUAAUAAACUGCUGGCUUCAAAUAAAGUAGAAAUAGCAUAUAAGCUUUUCCUGAAGUUAAAGAACGCUCGUGUCAAUGAAAAUGCACAAAGAUAUUGGCGGGCUAAAGGGUGGCACUUUUGAUCUUUUGCAUCUGUAGGUUGGUGAUGGCAGCUGUUUCAGGUAAUAUUUAUCUGGAUUCUUAUUGAAUAAGAAGGAUCAUCUUUCUUCAAGUUCUAUGGUCCACACGGAAGCUUAGAUAUAACAAUUGAACCACAACUACUGACUAUCAGACGAAGGCACUAGUCUCUCAAGCUUGCUGCUUUACUAUAAGCACGAUUCGGAGAUCUUGGGUUCAUGGCUAUCUGACCCUCUUCUGCUUAGUUACAUUUAUCCUGAUGAUCAGCUACCUGGUAGCGUAGGAAAAGAAUGUGCCUGAGUUUUAUGAUGAUUAAGUUCAGAAUUGCUGUUGCAAGAAAUGGAUUUAAUUACAUACCUGAUGGCCUUUCACUGAAGUUACCAAGAUAUCAUCAAAAGGGUCAGGGCAUCAAAAGGGUCAGGGCAUGUAUUUUCUGUGCAUCAUUUAUUGUGCCUUUGUUGUUUUCUAAUGCUUUAUUGACUCUUUGUGUAAUUAAAUUUUCAAGUUAAUGUAGUGGUCUACACAAUAUACUGGCCCCGAUUGAAUGCUGUUCUGUGCUUCGCAGAUGCAGUAUUGUUUGAAAAUUAAAUAAAAGAUAUCAUUCCUUGUGUUUUAGAUAUGUGCCAGGAAGUGCUUAAUGGAGCAUCAUGUAUCUUCAGUGGAUAUCAUUUUCACCACUGGAAAUGCUGGGAUCAUCUCAUUGGGCAGGCUCCAGUUAUGCUUCCAUAAGAAUUUAAAGAUCAGGAAAUUACUUGAACAGUUGAACCCUUUCUGUUUGAAACUCGAAUUUGAAAACUUUGUCACUGCAUUUUUACAAGGACUUGAUUAUUAGGUUGUUAUUUUGUUUUGUCCAUUUGUUUCUUAAAUUCCACCAAUAGGUUCACCGAUUGAUUGAUAUGAUCAGGUGAAUAAUACUGACAAAUAAUCAUAAUAUGAGGUAAGUGAAUUCCUUGGCAAUUAAAGAAAUCUAGAGGACAGAGAUAUUUCAUUAGUCAUUUAACUGGACUGCCUUGAAUAUUUUCUGAUGUUUUGACAAACUUCAUAAUUUGCACGAUUUAUUUAGUCACUUACAGUACAUAUAAUUUCUUUUUGAUAUUAAAUUCUUUACUUUUGCUAAAUAGACUCUAAUUCAUGGCUUAAAUGAAUCCAUAACUCACUGUGAUUUUCUUAAAUCUUAGCUUGCCUUUGUGAUGUUAUUGAGCAAGUGUGUGUUCAUUUUGUAUUAACCUCCUCCACAUCUAAUAUGAGAUAUGAGAUGGUCUGGAUCAGUGAAAAGUCUGAAUCGAUGAUUUUAUCAAAUCAGCACAUGCAUUUUAAAGUUGAAACUAAAUUUUCUUUCUCUAUGCCGUCAUGAACAGUACUCAAGCUAGAAACAUCCCAAUUGAUUUUGGUGCUAUGCAAGACCGGUUUAAACAAGUGAGUUGCCCAGAAGAUGAAAUAACUCUCUAUUGAACUAAUGUACUUCUUUAGUCUCAGGUUCUUCACUUUAAUAUUCAUGAACGGCUUCAUGGCAUGAAUAGAGGAGAUGCCGAGGUUUUAUUUUCCUUGAAAGUUAAACUGACUGUUAUGAAUUUUGUGGGUUCGAUUCAGAUGGUCAAUGGUUCAGAUAACGCAUGUUUACAACCAUAACUUGAUGGGCCAACUUUAGCUUCCUCGGAUUAUGGUUUAAAUGAUGAGAGUCUUGAGAAGUAAUCUGGUUGUAUUACUGGUACUAUGGUUAUGGGAGGAGACGAGGCUGUGAAGUAUGUAUUCCUUGUCACUCUUAUGUUCAAUCACAUCGAGAGGAAAGGCAUACCAUAUUGUGCAACGCUGACAUCCAAAACUACAACAUGCUCAAAUAGACAGAAUAGACAUCAAAAUAAAAUGCAAUUUGCAGAAACAAAAGGUUUGGUGCUCUGAAUUUCAGAUAUACAAAUUAAUAUAUAGGUUAUGAGGCAAACACAUCUGAGCUUUUGUGGAUUUCACUCCAAACGUUUUACUUGAUAUAAUUUAAGUGUCAAGCAAAUAUUUACUAA